AGCUUUUUCGAAUGUCGACUUGGAGGUUGUGCCCUUGAGGCGUGGCUUCCGGAGCUAACGCGUUAAGUCGACCGCCUGGGGAGUACGGCCGCAAGGUUAAAACUCAAAUGAAUUGACGGGGGCCCGCACAAGCGGUGGAGCAUGUGGUUUAAUUCGAUGCAACGCGAAGAACCUUACCUACUCUUGACAUCCAGAGAACUUACCAGAGAUGCUUUGGUGCCUUCGGGAACUCUGAGACAGGUGCUGCAUGGCUGUCGUCAGCUCGUGCCGA
rnacentral:rRNA from 1 species